CAGGCGCGGCAAUCGUGCGACAUCCGUCACUUACGGCCGAAGCGGUUUGUGCUGGGAGUUGGUGGCGCGGUGCAGGGCUCUUAGGAACAAACGGCUUGGGCGCGGACUGGGAUCGGAGACUGUGACUUGCAGGGUGCGCCAUGGAACCAGAGCAGAUGCUGGAGGGACAGACGCAGGUUGCAGAAAAUCCUCACUCUGAGUACGGUCUCACGGACAACG